GAUGAACGCUAGCUACAGGCUUAACACAUGCAAGUCGCGGGGCAGCAUGGGGGUUGCUUGCAAUCCCCGAUGGCGACCGGCGCACGGGUGAGUAACGCGUAUUCAACCUGCCCUUCACCACGGGGUAACCCGGCGAAAGUCGGAAUAAUACCGUAUGUUGUCCAUUGACGGCAUCCGAUUUGGACGAAAGGCUUGUCGGUGAGGGGUGGGGGUGCGUCCGAUUAGCCAGACGGCUGGGUAACGGCCCACCGGGGCUCCGAUCGGUAGGGGUGCUGGGCGGAAGGUCCCCCAAGCUGGAACUGAGACACGGUCCAGACUCCUACGGGAGGCAGCAGUGAGGAGUAUGGGGCAAUGGGCGUAAGCCUGAACCAGCCAAGUAGCGUGCAGGAUGACGGCCCUAUGGGUUGUAAACUGCUUUUAUGCGGGGAUAAAGUGGCCCACGUGUGGGCUUUUGCAGGUACCGCAUGAAUAAGGACCGGCUAAUUCCGUG
rnacentral:rRNA from 1 species